rnacentral:rRNA from 1 species
AUGGCGUCCGCGGCAGGCGACGGGACGAGGCGGAAGACGGCGUGCGUCACCGGAGGGAACGGCUACAUCGCGUCGGCGCUGGUCAAGACGCUGCUGGAGAAAGGGUACGCCGUGAAGACCACCGUCAGAAACCCCGAUGACAUGGAGAAGAACUCGCAUCUCAAGGAUCUGCAGGCGCUCGGCCCCUUGGAGGUCCUCCGUGCAGACCUCGUCGAAGAGGGCAGCUUCGACGGCGCCGUCGCCGGCUGCGACUACGCCUUCCUCGUCGCCGCUCCGGUGAACCUCUACGCAGAGGACCCUGAGAGAGAUGUGAUCGAGCCGGCCGUGCACGGAACCCUCAACGUGUUGAGGUCGUGCGUGAGAGCGGGCACGGUGAGGCGCGUGGUCCUGACAUCGUCGGCGGCCGCCGUCUCCAGCCGGCCGCUGGAGGGCGACGGCCAUGUCCUGGACGAGGAUUCCUGGUCCGACGUCGAGUUUCUUAGAUCGACAAAGACCGGUGCUUGGGCGUACCCUGUGUCCAAGGUGCUUCUGGAGAAGGCGGCGUGCGCGUUCGCGCUGGAGCAUGGCAUCAGCCUGGUCACUGUGUGCCCCGUCGUCACGGUGGGCGCGGCGCCCGCGGCGAAGGUCAACACCAGCGUGCCCGACAUCCUCUCCCUGCUGUCCGGCGAUGAUGCGAGGAUCAGCAAACUUGAGUUCAUCGAGAGGGUGACCGGCGCGAUCCCGAUGGUCCACAUCGACGACCUCUGCCGCGCCGAGCUGUUCCUCGCCGAGGAAAAGGCGGCGUCGGGGCGGUACAACUGCGGCAGCGUCAACACCACCGUCGUGGGGCUCGCCCGCUUCCUGGCGGCCAAGUACCCGCAAUACAAUGUCAAGACCGACCGGUACGCCGGUCUCACCGAGAAGCCGAGAGUCUGCAUUUCGUCGGCGAAGCUCGUCAAGGAAGGGUUUAAGUACAAGUACAAGAACCUGGACGGAAUAUAUGGCAGCGUCGUCGAGUAUGGAAGGGCCUUGGGAAUCCUUCCCUACUAA